CUCCCUGGGAAAUGGUGAUUGCUUUACCUUCUGAACCUCCACAAUUUUGAUUUCAGCGUCUUUGAGCUGAGAAUCAACUCUUCUCUCAGCAUGUUGGAGGAGUUUCUGGAGUGACGCUUCUGCUGAUACAUUAAUAAAACAAUACCAUGGUUCAAUGGUAAUUCAGAUAAGGUAAACGGUUCGAGAGAGAAACAAAGCAUUUAAACAGAUUUAUUCAAGUGGUUUUUGUAUGAUGAUUCAUUCCAUUUACCUCUUAACAAUGAUAAGAAUGAGCUACAACUAUAAUUACUUCAAUGGACCUGAAUUAAUUAGCUACUGAGUUGGCAUGCAUAUAAAACAGAAUGGAACCCACCAUAUAAAUUUUCUGUGCAUCAACAUUUACUCGUUAAAAAACAAAGAACAAUUUAUGCACAUCCACAUAUGGUCGGUAAAAAAACAGAGGAUGGAAAUUGCUCCUCUACUAUCUGUAUGCAUCCACAUACACCCAUUCGGAAGAAAGAGAAUGUUAAUUACUCCUCUAACGUCUACAGAACUUGAGAAACAAGAGCCAGAACUUUGAUCCAGUGGAGCCUAAACCCAGCGAUAUGUAUAGAAGCAAUUGCACUGAAAAAAACACAUCAACAAAAUGACCAAAAGAAAAGCAAAAGUAAACUUAUUUGUACUCCAGGACUGACAUAUGUUUUUUUCACAACGCCACAACAUACUAAUAUGGAAGAACACUGGAUGCAAAAAGGCAUCUCAUACCUAGAUUUUCACGAGAUGUCUUUUCCAUGCUGGCCACAAAUUGUUCACCUAGACACUUGACUAACAAUGUUAGAUCCCAGUUCACCAAUUUCCUUACCCAUUGGCUUGGUGCACAAAUGCCCCAGCAAAAACAUUUUCAUACACAUUCAGUGUGGAUCAGUACACCGUUCAAAGAAAAUCAAUGAGAACAGAGGAAGUGGCAACCUGCAAGCUGAAGCGGACCAUGUUGUUUAGGGAG
rnacentral:lncRNA from 1 species